CCUACGGGAGGCAGCAGUGAGGAAUAUUGGUCAAUGGGCGCGAGCCUGAACCAGCCACGUAGCGUGAAGGAUGACUGCCCUACGGGUUGUAAACUUCUUUUAUAAAGGAAUAACGUGAGGCUCGUGUGCCUUUUUGUAUUUACUUUAUGAAUAAGGAUCGGCUAACUCCGUGCCAGCAGCCGCGGUAAUACGGAGGAUCCGAGCGUUAUGCGGAUUUAUUGGGUUUAACGGGAGCGUAGAUGGGUUGUUAAGUCAGUUGGGAAAGUUUGCGGCUCAACCGUAAAAGUGCAAUUGAUACUGGCAGCCUUGAGUACAGUUGAGGUAGGCGGAAUUCGUGGUGUAGCGGUGAAAUGCUUAGAUAUCACGAAGAACUCCGAUUGCGAAGGCAGCUUACUAAACUGCCACUGACAUUGAUGCUCGAAAGUGUGGGUAUCAAACAGGAUUAGAUACCCGAGUAGUC
rnacentral:rRNA from 1 species